UAAUACGUAGGGUGCAAGCGUUGUCCGGAAUUACUGGGCGUAAAGAGCUCGUAGGCGGUUUGUCGCGUCGUCUGUGAAAACCAGCAGCUCAACUGUUGGCUUGCAGGCGAUACGGGCAGACUUGAGUAUUUCAGGGGAGACUGGAAUUCCUGGUGUAGCGGUGAAAUGCGCAGAUAUCAGGAGGAACACCGGUGGCGAAGGCGGGUCUCUGGGAAAUAACUGACGCUGAGGAGCGAAAGCGUGGGUAGCGAACAGGAUUAGAUACCCUGGUAGUCCACGCCGUAAACGGUGGGCGCUAGGUGUGGGUUUCCUUCCACGGGAUCCGUGCCGUAGCUAACGCAUUAAGCGCCCCGCCUGGGGAGUACGGCCGCAAGGCUA
rnacentral:rRNA from 1 species